UACGGAGGGUGCAAGCGUUGUUCGGAAUUACUGGGCGUAAAGAGUGCGUAGGCGGCUUAGCAAGUUGGGAGUGAAAUCCCGGGGCUCAACCUCGGAAUUGCUCUCAAAACUGCUGAGCUAGAGUAUGGUAGGGGAUAGUGGAAUUCCUAGUGUAGGGGUGAAAUCCGUAGAUAUUAGGAGGAACACCAGAGGCGAAGGCGACUAUCUGGGCCAUUACUGACGCUAAGGUACGAAAGCGUGGGGAGCAAAC
rnacentral:rRNA from 1 species